UUGACCUCGGAUCAGGUAGGGAUACCCGCUGAACUUAAGCAUAUCAAUAAGCGGAGGAAAAGAAACCAACCGGGAUUGCCUCAGUAACGGCGAGUGAAGCGGCAAGAGCUCAAAUUUGAAAUCUGGCCCCUCCGGGGUCCGAGUUGUAAUUUGCAGAGGAUGCUUCGGGUGUGGCCCCUGUCUAAGUGCCCUGGAACGGGCCGUCAGAGAGGGUGAGAAUCCCGUCUUGGGCAGGGUGCCCAUGCCCGUGUGAAGCUCCUUCGACGAGUCGAGUUGUUUGGGAAUGCAGCUCUAAAUGGGUGGUAAAUUUCAUCUAAAGCUAAAUACCGGCCGGAGACCGAUAGCGCACAAGUAGAGUGAUCGAAAGAUGAAAAGCACUUUGAAAAGAGAGUUAAACAGCACGUGAAAUUGUUGAAAGGGAAGCGCUUGCGACCAGACUCGGCCUCGGGGUUCAGCCAGCACUCGUGCUGGUGUACUUCCCCGGGGGCGGGCCAGCGUCGGUUUGGGCGGCCGGUCAAAGGCCCCAGGAAUGUAUCACCCUCCGGGGUUGUCUUAUAGCCUGGGGUGCAAUGCGGCCAGCCUGGACCGAGGAACGCGCUUCGGCACGGACGCUGGCAUAAUGGUUGCAAACGACC
rnacentral:rRNA from 1 species